rnacentral:rRNA from 1 species
AGAGCGAACGCUGGCGGCAGGCCUAACACAUGCAAGUCGAACGGACCCUUCGGGGUUAGUGGCGGACGGGUGAGUAACACGUGGGAACGUGCCUUUAGGUUCGGAAUAGCUCCUGGAAACGGGCGGUAAUGCCGAAUGUGCCCUUCGGGGGAAAGAUUUAUCGCCUUUAGAGCGGCCCGCGUCUGAUUAGCUAGUUGGUGAGGUAAAGGCUCACCAAGGCUACGAUCAGUAGCUGGUCUGAGAGGAUGACCAGCCACAUUGGGACUGAGACACGGCCCAAACUCCUACGGGAGGCAGCAGUGGGGAAUCUUGCGCAAUGGGCGAAAGCCUGACGCAGCCAUGCCGCGUGAAUGAUGAAGGUCUAGGAUUGUAAAAUUCUUCAGUAGGACGAUAAUGACGGUACUACAGAAGAAGCCCCGGCUAACUUCGUGCCAGCAGCCG